GUGGGAGCGGGGGUAGUGGCUCCCUGGUCUGGGAGCAGGACUGCAGUGAGUAUGCUGGAGCUCUGAGCUCCUGCAGUUAAGCCAACUGAAGGUGGGCGUAUGGUUGAGUGGUUAACUGCAGGUGGGCAUAUGGUUGAGUGGGUCAGCCAGCAGACAGAGCUCCGACCUCUUCAUUUUCUCUCUGGUUAGACAGAGUUUAAAUGGCUUUACCUGACUUUGGAAGACUCCUGAGGAGUCUAAGCAGGUCCAGCCAGUGGGUACAGGCUUGAAGACCAACAGGGUGGGCUGGCAGAUGAGACAGUAUCAGCAUCUCAGUCCAGGCGUCCCAGCCAGGACCACCCUAACCACCACCAGGAGGAUGGAACCAGCCCCUAGCCCUUGUGAGUGGCUCUCCCUUUUCUGUACCAUCUCAAGGGAAACCUGAAGACAAGCUACCAGCAUGAGAUGUCCUGGUGUUCAGGGAACACAGUUAAACAAAAGUGUGAUGCUGCUGUGGGAAAGCCUGCCCCAGGACACCACCAUACCAUGCUGUCUUCAGUUCCUGCCAGCUGAAGUUUUAUUCCCAGGCAAUGCUUUCUCCUUUUACCGUUUCCCGUGGGGACCUGACUGGCUGUCUUUGGGGACUGAGGUCUUACAGGCCAGGAGGUGCCUUUGAGCUCAUGCUAGGGGCUGUGUGCCUGUGAACUCACUGGAAUCCUUUGUUGACACAUUGCUUUCUUACCAGUCUGUGAGCUCUUUGAGGGCAGGGCUUGUGAUGCUACUAUUUAGUAAUUCCUGUAUCCCAGUUGGUGCUGACACAUAGUAGGUGCAUAGUAAGUGCUUACUGAAUGAAUGGAUGGGUGCAUUUCCUGUUCUACAGAUACCUGUUCAAACUUUGUUUUGUACUUUAUUUUGUUAACCCAGUUAAUGCUUCUGACAAGAAGUUCUACAGCUCCUCCCCACCCCAUCAAAGAGGAGGGCCCUUGGCCUCAAAUAGGCCAAUCAGGCUCUGUUGGUGGGGAGUUGAAUCUUCAGUGAGCAACUGGGGAAGAGAAAACAGAACAGAACUAUUUUCGGAGGCCCCGAGGCCUGCAUCCUCAAGGCUACCUGGCUUUGUCUUUUCUGAGGCUCGGUCAACAUUUUCCUUGGUUCUCUGAGUUACUCACAUCUUUCUAAUACAUUUCCUCUUUUACUUUAGUUAAAACCAGAGUUGGUUUCUGUUGCUUGCCUCCAAAGAACCCUGACUGAUAUAAGUGUUUUCCUGUUAUUUUUAAAUCUUCUAAAGUAUUGCUCUGAGAUGGUUUCUGCUUAAGCAGAUUCAUUGAAACAGUUUACUUCAUAUUUGGAUUUUUCCAUUUGUCAGAACAUUCUUCCUUGGUAGUGUGGUGCAGUAGAAGGGACUGGACUGAUUUAGAUAAUCUAAAGGUAAUUCUGACUGUGCCACUAAUUAUGUAAUUUCAGAGGAGUAACAUUCUCUUUGGAUUUCAGUUUCCACAUGAGAAAUAAAAAAACUUGAACUGAGUAACCACAGAUUUCCUUCCAGCUUUAAGAUCCUAUUAUUCAUAUGAGUCAAUAUCUGCCUUUUAGUGAUAUGCUCCAUUGGCCCCAGUUACAUGGUCUGGGCUUAUGUGAUAACCCUUCAAAUAUUUGAGAACCUAUGCUCCUGCGAGUGUUUUGUUCUAGGCCCAACAUAACCAGUUUCUGUAAUCAUUUCUCAUAUGGUAAGGUUUUUAGACUUUUCACCAUUCUGGUCAUUCUCUUCCAGACACUCCAGUUUUUCAGUGUCUUCCUGAAAGUGUGGCUUCGAGACCUGGACCUGGACUAGUCAUGCUGUGGGAGUCUCCCCACUACUUACCCGUGUGCUCAGCCUGCCCCUCCUGGCACAUAAUGUUGACUAAGGCACAGCCCAAGGGGAGGCAGCCACCAUAACUUUCCUAGAUCUAGGGAUAGUUAUUUUUUGUCAUUUUAGAGGCCCUUCCUUCAGGCUGCAUGCAGAACAGAUGCAGGUAGCCAUGAAGCCAAAUCUGGAAGGAGAUGAUGCUUCCUCUGAAGAUCAGUAAGUAACCAAGAGUGAUUAACUGAACAGGUGCUAGUUCUUAAUACACAUGGAAGAAAGAUUUGCU
rnacentral:lncRNA from 10 species